ACCAAAUCUUUUGCUACUACCCUUUAGGCUACAAAGAAUGUGACUCGAUGUGAGCGAUGUAUAAAGAAGACUACAACAGUAGUCUCGUUCUAACCUUGGUAAGGAUGAUCUACUAUUCUAUUGGGGAGGCUCACGAAAUCUAGACACCAGAGAGGAUGUUCGACCCGCACCUAUAAAACCUACCCGUCCUGCUAGUGAGAUGUGUGAUGCAAAGGUAAAUUGGAAAUGUCACGUUCCUCGCUACAACCACGGUCCAGCU
rnacentral:lncRNA from 1 species